CAACCCGUUUUAAUAUCCCAAAAACCAAUCCUCCAUUUCAGAUUUGAAAACCGAACUCCCAAAUUAAACCACCAAAUCCUUAAACUUACCUGUCAGCCCUUUCACCAAUCCACUAUCGCCCGGUCAUCGUGAUCGUCGUCGCUCUCCGACCAAUAACCCUUUGGUUUUGGAUCGAGUAACUUCGUAGUUCAUUGCGAAUCGACGCCCGAACGUACAAUGAGGAAAACCAUUGGUCGCCGCUGUUUUCAUCAUUUUUUGGUCAAUCCAAUCGGCGUUGCAGCACACCACCACUCCCAUCAGCUUCAUCGGCGACUUGCGAACAAAACUCAGGUGAUCGACGCCCACCAUCGUCGUGCCGUUGUCGUCCAUCAUUAGAGGGAUAGUCAGGCAGCCUCCAUCGAAGGUUUGGCCGCCACACUCGCCGUCAGCGCGGAUGGGGCUUAUCAGCCAGCCCAUAAAGCCUCUAGAACUAGUUUGUUUAGAUCUAACCGAUAUGAACCAACUCGAAUUGAGUCAACCCAUUGACCGUUGACUUUGACCUUAACCAAUAUUAACUUUGAGCAAAAAGUUAUAUUAUUCGACGUCUUUAGUCUGAAUUUGAAGUCUAUUUUGUCAAAUUCAAACCUGAAAACCUUCGAAUGAACCUUUAAACUCGAAUAUGCAUAUGUAUUUAAGUAUUUUAUUUAAGAAUAAUUAAAUUAAAGUCAAUGACUGAUUUAA